AUCGUGAACGAGUAAAAUUUCUUGGAGAACUCGAACAAAUCUCAAAGCAAAAACGAAGUCCUCCUUCAAAUUAAUAAUAGAUUAGUCAUUAAUCAGGACUCAUAAUUAAAUGUCCGAUUAACUUUUUUAAUAGUUAGACUAAUUUAAUUUAAAGUUAAAAUUUCACGACUCAAUUGAUUCUGCUUCUACUGACCUAAACUUAGUGCAAUUACAUCCAAGAGAGAGAGAGAGAGAGAGA
rnacentral:misc_RNA from 1 species